GAACGCGAAGAACCUUACCAUCCCUUGACAUGGCAUGUUACCUGGAGAGAUCCAGGGUCCUCUUCGGAGGCGUGCACACAGGUGCUGCAUGGCUGUCGUCAGCUCGUGUCGUGAGAUGUUGGGUUAAGUCCCGCAACGAGCGCAACCCACGUCCUUAGUUGCCAUCAUUCAGUUGGGCACUCUAGGGAGACUGCCGGUGAUAAGCCGCGAGGAAGGUGUGGAUGACGUCAAGUCCUCAUGGCCCUUACGGGAUGGGCUACACACGUGCUACAAUGGCGGUGACAGAGGGACGCGAAACCGCGAGGUUGAGCAAAUCCCCAAAAGCCGUCUCAGUUCGGAUUGCACUCUGCAACUCGGGUGCAUGAAGGCGGAAUCGCUAGUAAUCGUGGAUCAGCACGCCACGGUGAAUACGUUCCCGGGUCUUGUACACACC
rnacentral:rRNA from 1 species